rnacentral:rRNA from 1 species
UGGGGAAUAUUGGACAAUGGGCGAAAGCCUGAUCCAGCGACGCCGCGUGUGUGAAGAAGGCCUGCGGGUUGUAAAGCACUUUCGAUGGGAACGAAAUGUGUCGGGCUAAUACCCCGGCAAGCUGACGUUACUCAAUGAAGAAGCACCGGCUAACUCUGUGCCAGCAGCCGCGGUAAUACAGAGGGUGCAAACGUUGCUCGGAAUUACUGGGCGUAAAGCGCGUGUAGGCGGUUCGUUAAGUCGUCUGUGAAAGCCCAUGGCUCAACCAUGGAAGUGCAGCCGAUACUGGCAAACUUGAGUUCUGGAGAGGGUGGCGGAAUUCCCAGUGUAGAGGUGAAAUUCGUAGAUAUUGGGAGGAACACCGGUGCGAAGGCGGCCACCUGGACAGAUACUGACGCUGAGACGCGAAAGCGCGGGUAGCAAACAGGAUUAGAUACCCAGGUAGUCCCUGAGCGGGCUGGCAAGGCGCAU